rnacentral:rRNA from 1 species
CCUACGGGAGGCAGCAGUGGGGGAUAUUGCACAAUGGGGGAAACCCUGAUGCAGCGACGCCGCGUGGGCGAAGAAGUAUUUCGGUAUGUAAAGCCCUAUCAGCAGGGAAGAAGAAAUGACGGUACCUGAGUAAGAAGCACCGGCUAAAUACGUGCCAGCAGCCGCGGUAAUACGUAUGGUGUAAGCGUUAUCCGGAUUUACUGGGUGUAAAGGGAGCGCAGGCGGCACGGCAAGCCUGAUGUGAAAGCCCGCGGCCAAACCGCGGGACUGCAUUGGGAACUACCGGGCUGGAGUGCCGGAGAGGUAGGCGGAAUUCCUAGUGUAGCGGUGAAAUGCGUAGAUAUUAGGAGGAACACCAGUGGCGAAGGCGGCAUACCGGCUCCACACUGACGCUGAGGCACGAAAGCGUGGGUAUCGAACAGGAUUAGAUACCCCUGUAGUC